UGAGGAAUAUUGGUCAAUGGGCGAGAGCCUGAACCAGCCAAAUCGCGUGAAGGAAGACUGCCUUAUGGGUUGUAAACUUCUUUUAUACAGGAAUAAAAAACGGGGACGUGUCCCUUAUUGCAUGUACUGUAUGAAUAAGCAUCGGCUAACUCCGUGCCAGCAGCCGCGGUAAUACGGAGGAUGCGAGCGUUAUCCGGAUUUAUUGGGUUUAAAGGGUGCGCAGGCGGGCUUUUAAGUCAGCGGUGAAAUCUCGGGGCUUAACUCCGAAACUGCCGUUGAAACUGGGAGUCUUGAGUAUGGAUGAAGUAGGCGGAAUUCGUUGUGUAGCGGUGACAUGCUUAGAUAUAACGAGGAACUCCGAUUGCGUAGGCAGCUUACUAAGCCAUAACUGACGCUCAAGCACGAAAGCGUGGGGAUCAAACAGAUUAGAUACCCCUGGUAGUCCACGCCGUAAACGAUGAUUACUAGUUGUAUGCGAUAUACCGUAUGUGACUAAGCGAAAGCGAUAAGUAAUCCACCUGGGGAGUACGCCGGCAACGGUGAAACUCAAAUGAAUUGACGGGGUCAUAGCUG
rnacentral:rRNA from 1 species